AAAUAGUCCAUCAUGGCCGACCAAGAAGAUGUUCAAACAACCAAGAGAUAUGUUAGACCAAAGACAGAAUGAGGAGCGUAACUUUUACCACUUAUUUGUGUAGAGCAGUAUGGUACCAGUGGUGCAGCCGACUCUGAAUUCCUGGCUUGUUCUAAUGAAAAAAGGCGGAUGAGGCACUUGAAUCCGAAUGAAAUCAAAAAUGCCAUUGUAUGAGGAUUGACCUGCAAUGCAUGGAAAUCAUCUAACACAACUACAACGCCUACCUUGGGGAAAUGAGUGCAAGAUGGAAACAAAGCGUUCAGUGAAACAUCUUGUCAUCUCAAAUAUUUGAUGACUCAAUACUGAUGGGAAGUUGCAGAUAAAAGUCAUUUGUUGGCCUGUGAUUAUUAGAUACACCCAGACACAUAAAAGGGUUAUAUGGUAAAGGAUUUAUCUACGCUGAAAGUAGUUUUCCUAUAUUAAGGAGGGAAGAUAACUACAAAAACAGAAACAGAUGGCAUUGGCAGACCAAAUAAAGAACUAUUUUGUUCAGUUAAUUUUUUAAGACUUUAGAAAAGCCUUUAAUAGGGCACAUCCUUGCAAAGGAUGUCUGUACGUGUUUCUACUUUGGCAACAGACUGAAAGAGUGCUUUCAGCUUGCAUAGCAAUCUGAUUAGGCAUAAAAUAAGAUACUAGCUGAAUUGCAAACAGUUUUUCCAUUGGUGUUGAUUUGUUUUUCAGUCUGUUGGAAUGUUUAUUUGAAGUGAUGAGCAUUGCUUACCGCAACCAAUAUUUAUUUUCUUUUUUAAGUUGAAUUUAACAAACA